rnacentral:lncRNA from 1 species
CAUCUUCUGACUUUUGACUUAAUUGGUCUUUGCUAUCUUAACAAGCAUGGAGAUACGAUUAGAAGUUUUGACUUCAACCAGUAUCAAGCAGAAAAAACCCUGGCCACGAGUAUCCUGGUUGGGACAGGAAAAUGAAGCUGUUUUUCUUUUGGAUGAUAAAUUCGUAAAUGAAAUUAAUUUGCUCUCAGGAAGGACAAAGAAGAAAAUUCCCAGUCUUCAGCCUUUGUUGAAGGAUGUUAUACUCCUAACAACGUCCAGUAAUGAUGCCUGGCUGGCUGGGGUACUCACUACAGGGGAGGUUUUCCUCUGGAACAAAGAUCAAGAUUGUUUGAAAACUAUACAAGCAACUGAAAAGCCUAAGGAAAUGAUUGAAGCUGCAGUAGCAAGCUCUUCGAGACUGUACUUGUAUGUAUCUGGCAAUGGGAAAAGAGUUCUGCUUAUAACUCCUUCUGGAUGCAUAUUCCUUUGGGAACAUUUGGAAUUCAAGAAUGUUUCAUCUUCCAAAAGCCUUUCCUUGGUGGGCCAGUGGUCCCAGAUCAUGCCUGAAGAAGCAGUUCCUUUGCCUUCCACUGAAGAUAAAGAAGCGGUAGUGCAUGCUGUUUUUAUAAAAAAUGAGUUAUUUGGAGACUGCUGCUUGUGUUCAUUUACUUUCUAUUCCGGGGAAUGCCUGAAGUUAACAUUUCUAGCAAUUCGGUGGCAUGAAAAUGUAUUUACACCUGUAAGAUCACUGCCAUAUCAUGUUCAGUGGGCUCAGCAGGAUUGCCUUCUGUGCAGUCUGAUCCCUAAAUGUGAGUCAGUGAAGUCAAGGGGAGCUCUGAUUUCUGCAUUUUCAAGGGAUGGACUUACCCUGGCAGUAACGCUUAAUCAGAAAGACCCAAAGGCAACUCAGGUAUUAUUUAUAAAUACACUGAAUUUUGUUACUCUCUAUGGUAGCCUUAAAGGAUGUAGUAAUAAGAAUCCUGUGGUUCCAGCUACUCUUGUCAGGUCAUACUGGGUAGGUGACGUCAGCUGGACUCACGAUAGUCUUUUCCUGGCUUGUGUGUUAAAACGUGGCUCCCUGGUUUUAUUGACCUGCCACGGUGAAUUGCUAACGUUAAUUACAUUUGGUUGCUCUAUAGAAUUUGGGCCAGCAGAAUUUAUUCCUCUUCACCCGCUAAUAACAUAUAGACCACAGCAGUUUACACUUCAAGAUUCAAAUAAUUCUGUAGAUUCAUCAGCUUCAGAUAGUGACCCUAUGAGACAGAGAUUUUCUAUAAAAGCACACUCACGAUUACCGUACCUCAUUAUUUCUGAUGGAUACAUGGUCACAACCCUUCGAUUUCUUGAUAAUCUGUCUCCAUCAGUGCUCAUGAGAUCCCUUCUACUUGAUUCAACGCAGAGGCUUGAGAAAACAUACGAAAGUGUGAUACUGUGUAAGCCAAAAGGCAAAGGUCUGAACUUGCGAUCACUGAAUUCCCUAAGAUCUAGCUUGUUAAAGCACCAAAGAGAUGAAAAUGUAGCUGAUUCUACUGUUCCCAAAUUCUUGCAAGCAGAAGAAACACUGAAGUUAAAUGAAGAAACAGCGGAUUUGCAGGAUUUUGAAGCAGAAGAAACUGAUGAUGGCAUAUGUUUUCCAAACAACUUAUUCUCUUUUUGGAACCAAAAAAAUGAUCUGUUAUUUAGUAGUGUUGAGGAGGGACGAUUGGAAUUUGCUUCUAUGUUUGAUACAAUUCAUGCAAAAGAUAAUACUGAGGAGACAGAUAAAACUGUUACAGAACUGCACUCUGUCCAGAAAAAUCUCCUUGCAGCAUGGACUAUAGGGAUUUCAAAAAAUGUGACAGAAAAAAAUUUAAUGUUAAAUUACACAGUAGUUUGUAUCACUCAUUUUUUGUAUAUUCUUCAGUUUAUAAAAUGUCCUUUUCCCAAACUAGAUCUUUUUUUAAGCAAGAGCUCAAAAUAUAAUACAUGGGUGCUUUGUAUCUUUCAACUUUUUCAUCAGUGUUUAUCAAUCCAGUAUUGGGAUAUGAGAUACAAGCAAGAUGUAGGACAUUUGGUGAAGCUGACCUCAAAUACUAUAAAGCUUUUGCUAACACAGCAACAACAGGAUCUGUUAUUCUCAGAGAAGCUUUUAGCCUGUUUUCAUUUACUCAGAAUGGUGGCUGAUCAUUUAAAUGGCGUGUACAGUCUUCAGCCUGAAGUUAUCUCAGCAUCAGCUGAGGGAAGUAGAAGAGCAAAGCAAGACUCAUUGGUGUUACCCAUUUUUCAAAUGUUUCAAGACAGUGGAUCUUGGGAAAACUGGUCUUGGAACUCAUCUUUCGAGAUUCAUCCUCAAGUAUUACAUUUUGUGCAACAGCCAGGACACAGAUUGAGUGUUCUCUGGAAAAUAUUGUACAGAAAGACUUUAUGGUAUCAGAUGCAAUUAAGUCAGAGAGUUCCUGAAGAUGGCAUGCAGUUAGCUGAAAAGAUGACACAUGAAGCAUCUGCUGUCAAGUCCCUGUUAUGCCAUAUACAGGCUGAAUUGCAGACUGCUGGAGUUCGCUUGAACCAGACCUUAGAACUUAAAUCUAUCAAUGGGGAAGAGUGUUUCCUAUUAGGAUCAUAUGAAAAAUCUGUUCAAAUAUGGAGGAAAGCUCUACAAGAAACCUGCGAGAAAGGAGGAAGAAGGACAUGUUUUCUUCAGCUUCGCUAUUAUCUUUCUCUUUUAUACUGCCACCUCUAUAACUAUAAUUUAAAUGAUGCUCAAGGAUUAUGUGAUCAGCUAGUAAGAGAAAUACUGAGAUGGUCCCACCUUCCUGUAAAAGAAAAUGAAGAUUGUUCAGUUCCUGAGAAGUCUCCUUGUGAGUCUGGGGUGACUGGAAGUGUUCAUCCUGAAGCGGCGGUGAGGGUGGUGCAGUCCAUGGCUCGCUUCAUGGCCGCCUACUUCACCAACCAGCGGCUGUGCAUUUUGCCACCUCACAGUGUGGAUGUUCUUCCUCCCCUUCAUAUUAAAACAGAGCAGCCCUUUCGACUUAUUCCUCUGCAACACUCUAAGGUGGCCAGUGCGGUCAGAGAGCAGAAUCUUUCUGAUGUGUGGACCGCUGAAUAUGCCCUUGAAUUAUUAUUGAUCGGUGGCCUGGUUCCAGAAGCCGUGUGGUUGGCACAUAAACUUGGAGACUGGAAGACAUCUAUUUCUGUCGGUGUGGCUUUUCAACUCUUCUGUAAGCGUGAUAGCAAAUUCACGAGAUCCAAGGAAAAGAGUCUGAAUCUACCAUUAAAUAUGACUCCAGCACAGAUUUUUCAGGAAAAACUACAGUGUUUCCUAGGUCAGCCAGCCUCUUUGGAAGCAAAAAAUGAAAUGAGCUCAAAAUGCAAACAGUUUACAGAUCCCAUUGAAGAAGAAGAUGCGGAUCUGCUGUUUGCUUCUGUGCAGGAAAUACUGAAAGCAGCAGUUAUGGCUGACGCGGAUAUUCUUUCAGAGACUUUUCAGCUUCUGAUCGACUCUGCCAAGGACUUCAGUAAGAGACUGUGGGGCUUAGUGCCCGUCGGCUUGUAUCUUCCAGCUCCUCCGUUAUAUUGUCCUCAGCCAGCUGUUCUUAGUGAAGAAGAUGGUGAUGAUCUUCUUUUAAAAGCUGAAAAAGAUAAUCGCCAAAAGGUGUCUGGAAUCCUUCAGCGUGUUCUCUUGCUUUUCCGGGCAGCUCGGUGUUCUUUUCCUGUAGCACAGUGGUACAUCUUGCAGUUGAGAUGGGCAAGAAAAGUCAUGCAAAAGAUUCGCAUGAAAGGGUCCCUUCCUUCAUUGAGUCCUUUCCCUGAGUCGUUACUUAAUUACUGUAAAGGAGGUGUAGCAUUCUUUCGACCUGGAGCGGCUGGAGACCGGAAGCUAGAUGAAGCGUCCAUUAAAGCAAUAGGUUGCUUCAGAGAACUUUGUGCUUUGUGUUGGAUGCUGCAUGUCCGUGAUAAGUUAUCCUAUAGUUGUAGGCAGUAUCAGAAGGCAAGAGAAAAUGUGGAGGAAAAAAAGGGCCUUGAGGCAAAGUUUGGCCCCUGUCUAGUUGAGCACUGUCUGAGUGCGGUGGAAUGGGCUUACAGAAUGUUGCCCUUCUCUCGGUUUUCUAAUAUUGAAGAGCUUAUUCAGGAUCUGAUUUUGAGCCUCAUUGCAGAACUGCCACCAAUCAGAAAGGUAGCAGAAAUUUUUGUGAAGGCAUUUCCCAAUCCUGAGGACAUAAGAGUUUCUUUAAGAGAAAAAUAUCACUCUCUUCAGCAGAGACUCAGACACUGUGUUGUGAAAGGUCCCCAAACAGAAGAGAUGAUGUCUGUUAUCAUGCAUUCUAUCCAUAAAGUGAGGGUGAAAGCCCUAAAGCGUGUGCAGAGAAAUAUAGGUUCUUUCGAAAUGAAUAUAUGGGAGCCAAUUGAAGAAGAAAAGCCAGCCGAGGUUGCAGGUUUUGACAGGUUUUCCUUGGGAACUAGUCUGAGCAGGAGCACACUCACAGAACUGGGCAGUUCUCUGGCUCACAGUGAUGCAGAUAUGGCCGAUACCCUCUCAGAAGCUUUGUCAGCUGAAGAAAAAAGCAGAACACAUUUCUGUCAAAGAAGUGCCCCAAAUCACAUGGAAUUAACAUUGACUGGUAAGCCCGAAGGUAAAAAGAAAAUAUAUAAUCAAAAGGAAAACCCUAAAAGAAAAGAAGAUUGCGAAAAGUUAUUACAAAAUGCACUUCCUGUAAUAGGUGUUUGGGAAUUUGAACGUGACGAUGACGAAUAUAUUAAAUUCCUUGAACUCUUCUUGAGUUAUGUUCUUGAAAGAGACCUACUUGGUUCCAAGGAUGCUGGCAUUCCAUUUCUAACUAGUUUUUCUGGACAUCUUAGAGAACAUGAACUUAAUUCUUUCCUCUUUGAUGUACAUACAACAUUAAAACGACGUCACAGCAAAACCAGAAGCCAGAAUGUGUUCAGAGCCGGCUCCUGCUUUGUUGUUGCUCCUGAGUCAUAUGAGUGUGAAAAAUCAGAAAACCAGACACUUUCAGCUUCCGUACUAGCUAAUCAAGGGAUCAGGCGUUUUUCCGAGAACCCUUUGAAUGAAGUCAAUAAAAAUGAAGGGAAGAGUGGGUUGUUCGGUUUAAAACAGAAGUCAGUUUAUAGAGUACAAGAUGACAGUGCAGAGAAAACUUUAAUACAGAGAUUGUCAAACCAUAGUGUUUGCAUUCCCAAAUCCACUGAAACUAGAAGAUGUAUUUUCAAAGCCAUUCAAUGUAAUGAUAUUAACCCUCAAGAAGAUCUUCCUGUAGCACUAAAUAACAUGUGUGGCAAUACAAGAAGGCUAUUGGAAUGGAUGAUAAGAUGGUCUGAUAAAAGACUGCUCUGUGACUCUGGACUCACCGAGCCAUCCUGUGAGUACAGUCCUGUCAUUCGUGUGAAGACCUCAACAGCCGCCAUUCUUACAUCAUUGUGGCUUUUGGAACAACCCUAUUUUGCUACAUAUAAGGCAAAAAAUGCCGUCAUUAAGGUGCUAGAGAAUAAUUCCCCUGAGCCUCAGAAUGGACCCAGUAUAGAGAAUGAUUAUAGAACAGAUGCUGGCUGUUCUGUUGCAGUAUCCGCUCAAGGUGGGACUGAGGAAAUAAAUGAUCAAAAUGAAUCCUGUCAAAGUAUCUUGAAAAUGCCAACAGAAGGAAAAAAUCCUGAAAUAAAGGGAACCAAAGAUGAGAUUAUUUCUGUCACUGAUAUUACUGAAAAAGAAGUUGUAAAUAUCGAUGAGGAUCUUUCAGAAGUAGAAGCAUUUACACAGGAGGAAAUGGAUGUAUACCCAACAGACCAUGAAGAGGAUGCCAAAGAGUUUGCCAAAGAACCUGUUGAAAGUCCUAAUAUUGCCGUUUACACGCAGAUGCAAACCUUACCACAGCAUUUAGAAAAGCAGCAUUCCACAGGAGAGGUUCAGUGUCCAAGGGAAGAACCAUUGGAGACGUGUAUGGAGGAGGAAUCAACUGAACAGAAAGGUACUCCAGUCUCUGCAUGUAAAGAUAAAUCUUCCUCAGCUCCACCUUUGGCAUCAAAUGGAGUCACAGUGGCUUCACAAACACCUGGACCAACAGCUCAGCCAACCCAGAGAAAUGAACCCAGCGCUCAGUUAUCGCAGUCUUCCAAUUCUGUUAGGCAAAUGCUCCAAGAUGAAAUGUUUAAAUUAGUUCAGCUGCAACAGAUCAACUUCAUGAGCCUAAUGCAAAUAGUAGGAUCAUCCUUCGCAAACCUCCCAGAUAUUCAUCAACUUCUCCAACAGUCUCAGUCUGUGCAUUUGGUGGGAAGCCAAGGAUCAAACCCCACGAGAGGGAGUAAUGAUGUUGGAGACACCAGUAGAAAUCUGAAGGAGAGAUUUUUCAUUAAACCACAACCCAUGGGAGAGUAUGCCAGAGAGCCUGGCAAGAAGAGCCCACACUGCCAUGAAGAAAUUGUGCAAUCCAAUGAAAAUAGUAAUGGAAACUUAGAGAAUGUUCCACAUGGGAGUGUUCCUUUUUGUCAAUCAGAAGGUCAGCCCCAGAAUAGAGGACUAACUCCAGCAUCUCACAGCUUACCAGCCGCUUCUUUGUCUCCAGUCCCUGCUGGAAACAGUCACCUCCACCUUUUGUCUGCAUCUUCUGCCGUUCCAAAGACACCUAGACUUAUCCCCACUGGAAAUACUUCCCGACCUGGUGAUGGUUUCCCUUUGCUUCAGUUUCAGCCCAAGCCUGAGUUUCAGCCCAUUUCCUUUCAGACAGAAAGAGUUCCUCAGCUUCCCUUCAGUCCUCUGCCAAAGCCUAGAGAGGCUUGGGGAUUAUCUGAUUUCUCACAGCCUCCUUUGCCAAAGACAGCAAUGGCCACUACUUCAGUGUCCCAUUUGAAUCUGAGCCAGUAUAAUACUGAAGCCAUAAAAAAAGCAGCUGAGCCGAAAAAAUGGGCAGAAACAAUAAUUAAAGAAAUCCCAAAGCAUGUGAACUUGGAUCCGUGUGUUGGACAAGAAAACUUGACACCUCAACAGGACUCUAAAACAUUUAUGCAACCAGAAAAAAUGUUUGAUGUUAAACCAGGACCCUUUGAGAUAUCUUCUCAGAAUUCCUCUGGACUUCCUUUAUUGUACCUGCAACUUAAACCUCCUUACAUGUUUUCUUCUACCUCAAGAGCAUCCAUUACAGUUCCAUCCAUACCUAUUAGAACUAUGGCAGAAGAAAGAAAAUGCCCAAGAUUAUCACUACUUCAUUCAUGUCUAGGCCCAGAAAAUAUGUACCAAAAACCACAACUUAUUCCACUUGAAAACCUCAUUGCAUUUAAACAAAAGCAACAGAACUGGACACAUAAUUUCUUUGAACAAGGUGAUCCUGGACAUCUCCAGCUUCUAAAGGUCAAAAUAGAAUCAUCUGAAUUGAGACAAGGGAAGGACAGUAAAAAAAGACAAAGACGACGAGCUGAAAGAGAACUGCAGGAAGAAAGAUCAGAGAAACUAAGGAGAAAGCCAAGUGUGACUUUCCAGCCGGAGGACAUCAUCAUUAAUGGCAACGAUUCAGAAGUAGCUGUGAAGCCCCAGGAGCAACAAGAACAUCCUGGCUCCCAGCCUUUGGAAGACUUUGACAUCCCUUUUGAAAAGCUCCAAGAUGAUGUUAAUACUUCUGCUGGACUGCAUUUCAUGGCCUCUGUGAAAAAGAAAGCUAAAGAAUGUCAGGAUGCAAGUACAAAUACAGACCCAGAAGCUGCUUCUCAACAAGUUGUUUCUGAAUGUCAUAAAAAUCAACAAGUCAUUUCUUCCAUAUCAGAACAUGAAACUUUGAAUGUUCCUCAACUUUUGGCUCCAGAUAUAUGUCUAAAUCUCAGACUUCCCACUGAAACAUCAGAGAAACCUCUGUCACCUUCAGCAUCUGAUACGGUUGGACACACUUACAUAAAUGUGAUUGACAUUGAAGCUGAUGAUCUACAGGAAUUACCUGUCAAGGAAGAGCCUUCAGAUAAUAUCAAGCAACACAGUGAUUGUCUAGAAGUCCCAUCUUCUGCAGAAUUACAUUACAUGGCAGCUUCAGUUACUAAUGCUAUUCCCCCGACUCUUGACAAUCUGAAGAGUAAAGAAUCUGCCUAUUCCGCUGUGGAUUUAUUUUUUAAACCUGCAAAAGUGUCUCCAUCCUGCCUGGGAGGAAGCAGCUGGAGAGCAGGCAGUACAGAAGUGAAGGAGCCUUGUGUCAUCUCACCUCUGCCAUCAGACAUACAGCAGGACACAGAUACUCCGAAGCCAGAUUUUCGCUUCAAGGAACUGAGCUCAAAGUCAGAUGCUACAGAAGACUAUCUUCUGUGGGAGGUGCUACAGGAAGUCCCCACCGCUCACCGUGCGCCAAGCCCUGCAGCUCGCCGGCUGGAGCAUCUCACGGCAAAACUUCAGAAAAUUGAUGAACAGCUCUUAGCAAUACAGAACCUCGCUGAAAACAUAGAGCACAAUUACCCCAGACACACAGUGCUAGACCGACACUGUAUGAAGGUUGAACCUGUGGGUCCCAUUGAACUGUCUUCUGGCCCUGAAUCUGAAAAAACAUUCCCUUCAAAAACCAUUAGCAUUUCUGAAGAAGAUCGGAGAGACAAAGAAGAGAUUUCAGUAACAGAAAUUUACCCUAGUCAGAAAACCUGUGUGCUUCCUUCAGCUCAUUCAGCUGUCAGUCUUUCCAGUGACCAGAAUGUGACUUCCCUUGGUGUGAAUAACAGUGAUGAAUUAUUUGAAAGUGUUUUGGUAGAUCCACUCCAGAUGAGUGAACUGACUGAUAUUGCGGACAUUAUCAAUGACCUCAUAACGAAAGAUGGAGUUUCCAGUGAAGAGCUCGGCCUAACAGAGCAACAGGCUAGGAGCAUCUCCAGGAUUCAGCAUCCCUCUGGUAGACGCCCACAAAGAACUGAGAAGGAGAGAAGAGAGAUUCAAGUCUGGAUGAAAAGAAAACGAAAAGCAAGAAUGGCAGAGUACUUAAAUCAGCUGGCAGAGAAGAGAGGGCAAGAACACGAUCCUUUCUGCCCCAGGAAUAACCCAUUAUACAUGACUUCAAGGGAAAUCAGGCUGAGACAAAAGAUGAAGCAUGAGAAAGACAGAUUGCUACUCUCAGACCACUAUAGUCGUCGAAUCUCACAAGCAUACACUCUGAUGAAUGAACUGUUAUCUGAAUCAGCACAGCUUCCAGCAGCUGCUCAGAAACCAUUGCCUAACAAACCCAGAAAAGCUCAGAUUCCCAGAAGGCAACGCUCCCCUUCUCCAAGAGGAGAGAAUCGACAUGGUCACAAUUUUCCAAUAUACAGACCUGGAAAAGUCAGACAUACAUCCACCAAACCAAGUUAUACCCAAAAGGGGAGACCUUUUGGGCAAUCUCAAGGCUCACCUUGGCCGCGUGGCCCCAAUGCUCCCUGUCGGGAGUGUAUAAAAAGUCACAGAAGCUCUGGGCUUGCUCCUCAAACCAAGGAGGUGUGUAUAGAGUAUGAGAGAGAAGAGACUGUGGUGAGCCCGUGGUUGGUACCUUCAGACAUCCGUGCGAUUCUCCACGAGAGUCACAGUUCCCUGCUACAGGACUCCUCACCAACUGAAGAAAAGUCAGAGGCUCCUUUGGGGGUAGGUGGCAUGGAGAGCUUGUCUGAGAGCACAGGCAGCAUCCUCAGCAAGCUUGACUGGGAUGCUGUGGAAGACAUGGUGGCCGGCGUGGAGGACAGGAGCCUCUCUGUCCACUGGGCCCUGGACCUGUAAGACCUGAGCAUCACUCUGCUUCCACAUGAAGGCCCACAGCUCAGCAAUAACGUUCAG